UACGGGGGGGGCAAGCGUUGUUCGGAAUUACUGGGCGUAAAGGGCUCGUAGGCGGCCAACUAAGUCAUACGUGAAAUCCCUCAGCUUAACUGGGGAACUGCGUCCGAUACUGGAUGGCUUGAAUCCGGGAGAGGGAUGCAGAAUUCCAGGUGUAGCGGUGAAAUGCGUAGAUAUCAGGAAGAACACCCGUGGCUAAGGCGGUUCUCUAGUACGGUACUGACGCUGAGACGCGAAAGCGUGGGGAGCGAACAGG
rnacentral:rRNA from 1 species